UCUUUGAAUAUUCAAGUUUUAUUUGAAAGAAUUUUGUUGGAUUUUUGUUCGACUCUUCUAUGGCUAUUAUCACGUGGUCAAAUUUUUGAGUCAAUGAUUCCAAGAUUUUUAUAAUAGUUGAUCUUGAUGUCAACACUUCUCCAUAAUCCUUGAUUCGAUUCACCAGUUUUGUAACCCUAGUAAAAAAAUCAGUUAUGCUUUCAUUUCUUCCAUCUGAAGCAAUUCAAACGUUCUUUUGUGAAUUUAUA
rnacentral:lncRNA from 1 species